GGAGAAAUAUGUUUCCCAUCCUCCUCAAAUCCAGCCAUGGCCAUAUGAUUUGCUUUGCCCAGAGAAAUAGGAGCACUGGUCACUUCCAGGUGAAAGCUCCUGCUAUGGACUGAAUCGUGGCCCCCUUCCCCCAGUUCAUAUGUUGAAGCCUUAAGCAUCAGUGUGGCACUGUCUGGAGACAGGAUCUUUAAGAGGUUGAUGGUAUCAAGGCUCUCUGAUGGCUUCUUGCUCUUUCCCUUCAACUGCAAUCUCUGUUCAAGACUGGAGGAAGGGGAGACAGAAGAAUCGUUUGCCUGAACUGAUAAAGAAGAAAAAGCCAAUAUUCUUUUGCUUCAUGGUGAGGCAGAGAGGAAGACUGUAACCUGUGGAAUAUGAAAAUAUGUUGGACUUUGGCAGAAGUGUGAAAUAACCAAGAGCUCAACAUUAAACUACUUGGAUAACCAGCUCUGGAAUACCAAGAAAGGGAUGGAAUAAAAAAUCUUUUGCAAGAAGUCAUUAAGAGUCUUUGGAAGAAGUAAUUUUGGUAUUCACAGAUGACAUUUACUUUGGAGAUAGAUACUCAAAAGCCGUAAGCAUGAAGGAUCCAGAAUUUAUCAAGUAGACUGGAAUAAAGAAAAUGAAAUGCAUCUUCAAUAUCAGUGGCCAAGAGAAGGCUGGAGAGCACCAAUUACAACAAAAUUUGGGAGUGGGUGGUGGUAAGGGAAUAGGAAGAAAUUUUCAAGAGCCUGAAUUGCUACAGCAGAUCAAACCUGAGGUCUUAGAGUUUAGGGCUGUAUUUCCGACGGUGGUACCAAAGAUGCAUAAUGACAGGGAUGUUGGUUUUCCUUAAAAUAUUAGGAAUUCUCCCCAGAUAUACUCCAACUUCUCUAAGUAACCUAUCAUGGGCUUAUUCACUCAUUAACUUAUCCAAGUUAUUUUUUUAAAAAAAUUAAUAAAUUUGAAAAUAUUAAAGGCAAUAUUCAUGGUAUUAAAAAAGUCAAACAGUACAGAUGGGUACUGAUGGAAAUUAAAAAUUUACUUUUCUACCCUUUUUAUUCCCCCAGGGCUAUCUUUCAGAUAUAACUAUUGUUGAUAAUUUUCUGCAUUUAUGCCAGAACUUUUUCAUGCAUGUGUAAGUACAUAUAUGUAUGUAUGGGGACCUGUGAUCCAUGUAUCUCUUCAUUACUGGGGAGGACACACCCUGGGAAAAGAAAUAUAAGCAGACGAUCCAACUUAAUCUUCUUCUAAGCAUGAUAACUAGUCCUCUGGGCAAUAGGCUAAUAAUGCUUGUUAGCUAGAUAGUCUUUAUCUAUAGAAUGCUCUCAGUAGGAUACCCCUGAAUUAGGGUUGCUUAUGGUAAAACAGUGUACAAUCCAUUGUAUGGAUUUAGGAGGCAUGACUCUCUGGAAAAUGUCAUGUCAUGUAAACUAUCUGACUCUCUUGGGCAUAAAAUGGAAGAGACGUUUCUUGACUGAAGAUCUACCUGCUGUGUGAGAUGAGCCAUGAAACUUGGAGAACUCAUUUAUUAUUCUGGGCCAGAGAGCAUCAUGCCUGAUAAGGAAAUGAAUUACAC
ensembl:lncRNA